rnacentral:rRNA from 1 species
ACUCCUACGGGAGGCAGCAGUAGGGAAUCUUCCGCAAUGGACGAAAGUCUGACGGAGCAACGCCGCGUGAGUGAUGAAGGUUUUCGGAUCGUAAAGCUCUGUUGUUAGGGAAGAACAAGUGCCGUUCAAAUAGGGCGGCACCUUGACGGUACCUAACCAGAAAGCCACGGCUAACUACGUGCCAGCAGCCGCGGUAAUACGUAGGUGGCAAGCGUUGUCCGGAAUUAUUGGGCGUAAAGGGCUCGCAGGCGGUUUCUUAAGUCUGAUGUGAAAGCCCCCGGCUCAACCGGGGAGGGUCAUUGGAAACUGGGGAACUUGAGUGCAGAAGAGGAGAGUGGAAUUCCACGUGUAGCGGUGAAAUGCGUAGAGAUGUGGAGGAACACCAGUGGCGAAGGCGACUCUCUGGUCUGUAACUGACGCUGAGGAGCGAAAGCGUGGGGAGCGAACAGGAUUAGAUACCCUGGUAGUCCACGCCGUAAACGAUGAGUGCUAAGUGUUAGGGGGUUUCCGCCCCUUAGUG